CAAAACUCAAUUCCUAACUCUUUAAAUUGGUGAUACUACUUAACCGUAACCAUGUUUUCCGUUUCUCUAUAUCCAUCUCUCUGUUAAAUUGGUGAUACCAUAGAUUUCAUUACAUCUCUUUUACUGUUCUAUUGACUUUUGUGAAAAUGGUUAAAUAGCUAAGCUAUGGAGAAAAACCCAAUAGUCAUCGGAGACACGAUUUCUCUAUUGAGAAAAAGCUUCAAUCUUCUUUUGCCAGACAAAUUCAGCUGACUCAAAAGUAGCCCAUAAUAUUGGGUUUCUUCCACAACUAACCAGAGGUGCUUAGGCAUAAAGAUGACAGAAUUUAGACAGUUUUCUGGCUGGAUUUUGGUGAUCCUGUAGAUUUUCCGGCGACCCGAUUUUGUGUAGAAAGUAAGCGACACCAAAUAAAAAAUGGAUCAAGACGA